rnacentral:tRNA from 1 species
GUGCCUGUGGCUCAAAGGAGUAGGGCACUGGCCCUAUAUGCCAGAGGUGGCAGGUUCAAACCCAGCCCUGGCCA